UACGGAGGGGGCUAGCGUUGUUCGGAAUUACUGGGCGUAAAGCGCACGUAGGCGGCUUUGUAAGUUAGAGGUGAAAAGCCCAGGGCUCAACCCUGGAAUUGCCUUUAAGACUGCAUCGCUUGAACAUCGGAGAGGUAAGUGGAAUUCCGAGUGUAGAGGUGAAAUUCGUAGAUAUUCGGAAGAACACCAGUGGCGAAGGCGACUUACUGGACGAUUGUUGACGCUGAGGUGCGAAAGCGUGGGGAGCAAACAGG
rnacentral:rRNA from 1 species